GUCACUGGUUUUCUUGUCGCGGGGCCGCCCCUCCCCGCCGGCCUCUGACGUGGCCCGCGGCGCGUCACUACCCGGCCGACGGGAAGCGCUGCCCUUAUAUGGGCGCAGGCUCCGAAGGGGUCCGCGGGGGCGGGAGGCAGGGCGACAGCUACCCGCUGUUCUCGGCCAGGCUCUCAACUUCCAAAAGAUUCCCAGGCCCGGGCAAAGGUGAGCCCGUUUGGAGAUAAGGACGUGGCUUUCCCAUCUCCUCCAGAGAGCUGGAGAGCCCAGGUGGGCAGCCUUCCAAGACAUUCUCUCCGGGCAUCCUCCCUGUUUGUGUUUCUCUUGAAGUGUUCAGAGCUAGAUUGAAAUGCAGAUGACAAUUGGCCUUUAAUAGAUUCACUCAAAUGGUCCCUUAAUGCUCUGGAUCCCUAAUGUCCACGUCCAGAAGGCUGUGAUGCAGAGGCCAGCGUGGAGUAGUGGAAAGGACAGGCUUGCCACUGCUGGGCUACCUUAAACAAGGCUUUUAGUCUCUUCCAGCCUCAUUUACCUUAUCCGUGAAGUGUAGAAGAUUCUUGCCUGAUGGAGUGGUUGUGAGGAUCAGAUGGGUGUUCAACUUGUUCGUGUAAAGCCACUUUUUAAGCUGUGAAGUGCUGUGCAAAAUUACGGUGGUCACUUUGUACCCUGGAGGAGCCUUGUUCAGGUCCCUUGCUGAGGAAGGGAGCAGCAGAGGCCCAGAUACUGACUUGGCUUCCAGAACCUGUCUCUGGGGCCUUGCCCAACCACUCUGGGAAUGCCCUUGGCCCUGUGGAAAAGCUUCAGCUGUGUACACAAAGUCAUCUGAUGUAUGCGUCUGUGCUUCCAAGGCUGUGAUGGGCUGUUUCGGGCCGCUGCUAAUACGCAAGUGAGGGUACCUGCCCCCACUAAAGCUCAAGACAAGUCUGAAGAUGAAAUCCCACUGCUGGUGCCAGUGAAGGCAACUCCAGCUGCAGGAAGCGUAGAGACAC